AUUGAACGCUGGCGGCAUGCCUUACACAUGCAAGUCGAACGGUAACGCGGGGCAACCUGGCGACGAGUGGCGAACGGGUGAGUAAUGCAUCGGAACGUGCCCGGUAGUGGGGGAUAACUGCUCGAAAGAGCAGCUAAUACCGCAUACGACCUGAGGGUGAAAGGGGGGGAUCGCAAGACCUCUUGCUAUCGGAGCGGCCGAUGUCGGAUUAGCUAGUUGGUGGGGUAAAGGCCCACCAAGGCAACGAUCCGUAGCUGGUCUGAGAGGACGACCAGCCACACUGGGACUGAGACACGGCCCAGACUCCUACGGGAGGCAGCAGUGGGGAAUUUUGGACAAUGGACGCAAGUCUGAUCCAGCAAUGCCGCGUGCGGGAAGAAGGCCUUCGGGUUGUAAACCGCUUUUGUUAGGGAAGAAAUCCUCUGGGCUAAUACCUUGGGGGGAUGACGGUACCUGAGGAAUAAGCACCGGCUAACUACGUGCCAGCCGCCGCAGUAACAC
rnacentral:rRNA from 1 species